GGAAUUAAGGGAGUAGGGUAGCGUGAUAAUUAAGGCGGUUUCCUCAAGAUGAGGCUCUUCCAUUGCGCUUAAGUCGGUCUGUUUCCUUGAGAUUAUCCCUAAUGCGGAUAACUCCAGCGUUUAAUUAUUGAUAGCCGGGAUUGUUUACUCGCUGUCCCGA
rnacentral:snRNA from 1 species